rnacentral:rRNA from 1 species
AUACGUAGGGGACGAGCGUUGUCCGGAAUUACUGGGCGUAAAGGGCGCGCAGGCGGAUAUUUAAGUCAGCUGUAAAAGGCAUGAGCUCAACUCAUGUAUACGGUUGAAACUGGGUAUCUAGAGUGCUGGAGAGGUAGGCGGAAUUCCCGGUGUAGCGGGGAAAUGCGUAGAUAUCGGGAAGAACACCAGUGGCGAAGGCGGCUUACUGGCCAGCAACUGACGCUGAGGCGCGAAAGCCAGGGGAGCGAACGGGAUUAGAUACCCCGGUAGUCCUGGCCGUAAACGAUGAAUGCUAGGUGUGGGUGUCGAGAGGCAUCCGUGCCGGAGUUAACGCGAUAAGCAUUCCGCCUGGGGAGUACGAUCGCAAGAUUGAAACUCAAAGGAAUUGACGGGG